UAGGGAACGGACGGGGGGGAGAAAAAAGAGCGGGAGACGAGCAAAGAUGGCCGUGUGUGUGAAGUCACAACCAAGUGGAGUCAAGUGUGUCCUGCCUUCUGCUACUUUAGCAAGGAAGACAACUAAAGUAUCUUCUUAACAACUCAACUGUAACCCACAGCCGUCCAAGUUGAGAAACCGGAAGCAAGGUUGGUUGCAUGAACAAAGACACUCCCUCUGGUGACCGGGCAAAGCAGGAAGUGAUCAGUGGGCGUGGCACGCUAACAGCCAAUCAGAUAUGUCUGCAGUGUCCGGGCUGCAUCUCCGUCAAGCAGCAGCAUCGUUGUCACGGAUCAGCAUGGGAUCCUUGGCAUGAAGUUUGACAGCCCAGUGGAGGAGGAGGAAGGGGCUCCGUCUUUUCAAAUGAUAAUAGGAAGCAGAGAUUACAGCGAGGACCACGCUCAGCCUCCACCUAAGACAUGAUGACCACGACACGGAGCUACAACAUGAAAGCCGUGUAUAAAAACACAACAAAACAGCAUAUUCAGGCUUCACGGCUUUCUCAAGCGACGCCAUCAAAGCACUUGCUGCUGCUGAACAUUUUCACAAGGAAGGUCAGUGACUAAAACAAACUAACAAAAAAGGACUCAUUAAGGGUGAACAUUGAUUAUUCAUCAUAAUUAAUGUGUUUAAUCGUCGGAAAAAAUGGGUUUAAUUGGUUCGAAUAAUGUUUUCACUGUCAAUAUUGGGAGUGACGACUAUUCCAGUGGUUUUAGCCUUUUUAGAGUUUUCCACUACAGAGGGUGCCGGGGCUCGCUCAAAUAUCAGCAC